rnacentral:snRNA from 1 species
AUGAAAAGACAGCACAUUUACUAAAAGAGGAAUUAAUGCAGAGUUUAGCAUGGCCCCUGUACAAGGAUGACACACAAAUUCAUGAAGUGUCCCGUAAGAUG